AGCGAACGCUGGCGGCAGGCCUAACACAUGCAAGUCGAACGAACCUUUCGGGGUUAGUGGCGGACGGGUGUGUAACACGUGGGAACGUGCCUUUAGGUUCGGAAUAACUCAGGGAAACUUGUGCUAAUACCGAAUGUGCCCUUCGGGGGAAAGAUUCAUCGCCUUUAGAGCGGCCCGCGUCUGUUUAGCUAGUUGGUUGAGGUAAUGGCUCACCAAGGCGACGAACAGUAGCUGGUCUGAGAGGAUGAUCAGCCACAUUGGGACUGAGACACGGCCCAAACUCCUACGGGAGGCAGCAGUGGGUAAUCUUGCGAAAUGGGCGAAAGGCUGACGCAGCCAUGCCGCGUGAAUGAUGAAGGUCUUAGGAUAGUAAAAUCCUUUCACCGGGGACGAUAAUGACGGUACCCGGAGAAGAAGCCCCGGCUAACUUCGUG
rnacentral:rRNA from 1 species